rnacentral:rRNA from 1 species
GACGAACGCUGGCGGCGUGCCUAAUACAUGCAAGUAGAACGCACAGUUUAUACCGUAGCUUGCUACACCAUAGACUGUGAGUUGCGAACGGGUGAGUAACGCGUAGGUAACCUGCCUGGUAGCGGGGGAUUACUAUUGGAAACGAUAGCUAAUACCGCAUAAUAUUAAUUAUUGCAUGAUAAUUAAUUGAAAGGUGCAAUUGCACCACUACCAGAUGGACCUGCGUUGUAUUAGCUAGUAGGUGAGGUAACGGCUCACCUAGGCGACGAUACAUAGCCGACCUGAGAGGGUGAUCGGCCACACUGGGACUGAGACACGGCCCAGACUCCUACGGGAGGCAGCAGUAGGGAAUCUUCGGCAAUGGACGAAAGUCUGACCGAGCAACGCCGCGUGAGUGAAGAAGGUUUUCGGAUCGUAAAGCUCUGUUGUAAGAGAAGAACGGGUGUGAGAGUGGAAAGUUCACACUGUGACGGUAUCUUACCAGAAAGGGACGGCUAACUACGUG